GUGCUACCUUUGGCAGCACAUACACAUAAAAUUGGAACUAUAAAGAAAAAAAUAGGAUGGUCCAUGCACAAGGAAGACACACAUAUUUCUGAAGAAUUCCAUAUUUUU
ensembl:snRNA U6 U6 spliceosomal RNA